GGAGAAGGUACAUAUAUCAAUAUCGGUACCUUGUUGGGGUCGGGAGAGGGUAAAUGUAUCAAUAUCGGUAGCUCAGCACCGCUAAAUGUCCCCCAGUGCCCGAAGGGAUCUCCCAGGAAGGAUGCGACAAGGCUCUUUACAAGGGCAGGUAGUGACAGGACGAGAGGAACGCCUUCAAGCUGAGAGUUUGAGCUGGAUGGAACACCAAAUUGACAGCAACGAGGAAAAAGUGCUUCUGGGCGAGUUGUUUAGUUGGGGGGAAAAAAAAAAGUAGGAAAAGGAUGGAACUCUGGUGGCAAAAAGGAUCCAGAAUCAAAAUUUACAGUUACUGAGUGGUGUAGGAGGUGCAGGGAGGAGCAGCACAGCUGUUACUCAGUGGUGGCUGUGGAGAUACACAAGAGCUAAACUAAGUUGCAUGUAACUAAUCAGAGCACAGAGAACAGAGCUGUAAAUAACAGAACUCCAGUAUGAAAACCUAAUUAGUUCAUAAAUUAGCACUUUGGUUUAUGAGUAGUCUGUUGUAUCAGUCGCAUUCACAUCUCACAUCUGCAGCCUGAAGAGCAGGACCUGGACCCCGAACAAAGUCCUGAAGCUCCUGGUUUGGUUAACAGCUCAAGGUCCUGGGGGUGGUGCCCCUCAGGGCUCCCCACUGGGACCAGUGUGAGCUUGUCUGGGCAACCUGUGCCAGGGCCUCACCCCUCUUACAGUAAAGAAUUUCUUCCCAAUAUCCAAUCCAUCCCUGCCCUCCAUCAGUCUAAAGCCAUUGCCCCUUGUCCUGUUGUUCCAUGCCCUUAUCCAGAGUCACUUCCCAGUUCCCAUGGGACCUUCUCCAGGCUGAGCAAAACUCUCAGGGUGUCUCCAAGCAGAGGUGCCCCAACCCUCUGACAUUUACAUUUCUAUACCCAGCCUGACCAUGCUAUAAACUGUGCAUUCUAAAUAACCUCUGUUAUUUAGUGACUCACCUAAUCACAUCAGUUAAUUUUACAAAUUCAACAUCUGCAAACAGUAGCAAUACAAAAUUCAAAUAAGAGAGAUCAGUGUUCCAGCUGUGUGAUGCAGAGGUUAUUCCAGUCUCCUCCUUCAGCCCACAAUGCAGUGUACCUCUCAAAAUAGGUCACUUCAUUUUCAAAGACAGGCUGAAGUCAGAAAAUCUCUUCCACUCUUCAAAAGAAACAUCCACUUACAUAUUUCACAUGGCAAAUAAAUUAAAAGUGUAGAGCACAGACAUUUUAAAAAUAAA